CUUCCCUUAGGACGACCUCUUUUAGCUCCGGUUGAGCUGCUAGGGCCGUUUGAUGCAGUGGUAGUGGGAGAUCUGUAUGAUUGAAGAGGUGGAACAAACGAUGGAGGAGGUGUGUACUGAGUCUGGUUGAGAUCUGGAGUGUCUUGUGUAGGUGGUUGUGAUCCAAAUGGGAAGAAAGGUGAGUAGCCUGUAGAAGAAGGGCCAAAAGGUGGAACUCCAACAAAGGGUGGACCUUGAUUGCCAUUUGGAAAAACAGGUUUUAGACUUCUCAGUGGUUUAACAUCUAGCACUAUAGACUUGUCAUAAUGGUUAGGAUUUGGAACUCCUUCCAUUGCUAAAACUCCUGUCAAAAAUGAGACCAACAUUUGGGUUAAAGAGCAUUGACAAAGCUUAGAUUAUUAUUAGCAUAUGAAUAAAGUAUGAUGAAAUAAAUAUCACAGCAUUUUACUGCAUAGCCCCUCUAGAACAACACCUUGCAGUGACCUUGUGGGUUAUAUAUACUCUUUGCAGUACUAAAAGCAGAAAAAAAAAAGUUAUAAGGAAAUGCAAAAGAAUCCAUUUAAGAGCAACCUUAGGUUCAAUAAAAGUCCCUAGAAGAAUCGAAAACCCAAAAAAAUGCAAACUUUGCUAUAUUUUGUAGACCGAGCAGCUAUGGUUCAUGAACCGAGCUACAUUUCCAAAACUCUUAGCACUGAUCAGGAGCGGUGCUGGGAGAUUAAACUCCUCAGAGAGUUCAUCUGAAGGAUCCUCAUCUACUAACGCAGGCUCAUAGUUCCAUUUAAACGAGUUAUAAACACGCGAUGUGUCAAAGACAUACUCAUCCUCUUCUUGGUCCAUUCUAAGUGUUUCUUGGUCUUUGACCUCACCAGCAUAUUCACAUAUGAAAGAACCAGCACGAAUGGGAUCCCACGACCGUAAACCCCAACCACGGUUCGCCGUCUUAAACACCUCCAUCCGGAACUUAAGUCCUGUCUGAAUCACUUUGUUUUUGCAACCGGCGUUACACGGACAGGUUGAACCACAUUCAUAUACCAUUGGCCUCCUGGAAACAAGCAUAACGCCGUUAAGGUAAGGAAGAUCGCCACCGUUCAUUCUGAUGCAAGAGCAGUUUAGAUCUCCCGGCGCACACGAGCCACGGCAGGAGCAACCAGUUGCUGUGUUCUGCUGGGUUAUUCUAAAGGCUUCAGAGUGUUUGAGAGUGGAGAUGUAAGUAAAAUAAGAAGGCCCCUUCUCAUCAUCAAAGUCAUUCACAAGGGAAACAGGUUUGCUCUCAACACCUGAAGUGAUAUCCGGAAGUAUAAGUCCUCUUCUUGGAGUCAUCAAACCUUCUUUCCACUUAUGAACAGCUUUCCAGAACCCAAAAGCAGGUGGCUGACCUGGCACUCUCACCAAUCUAUACUUAAACGUGUUGCAGCCAGACUUGCCUUUCUCCACCCAUGACUCCGAGAUUGUAUAAAGCCCAUCGUAAAUAUAGAUCUUCCCCGUUUUACUAGCUGGAUCCUCUUCUCCUCUGAUAACUCUAACUCCAUUCCCUUUCCUCAAGCUUCUCUCUAACGCAAGAUUCCCUCUCUCAAGCUUCUGAUCAGACGCUUGUUUGUUCUUGUCUGCAUUCCCUCCUUGUCCGCUGUAGAUUAAAGACUCAGGAUCCUGGGCCUCGCCGUCAUAGCGUCCGGCUGAAACAAUGCUGGUAGCUAGAGGCUCCUCAUCUGCACCUGCUGCUUUGCUCGUUAUGUAGUCAAUGCCGGCCAUUGUCUGCAUGUGGAGACCCACUAAGCACAUCUCUAUCCGUGAAAAGAAGAUAUCUCCAACUUCGAUUCCUGGAACCGUUCCAACUCUCUUUUUCAUGUUUGUCCUCACCCCGUUGCUCAUCAAAGAGCCUGCUGCUUUAGCGGUCGCGGCCUUUGCGUACUCCACUUGACUGAGACGCCUCCUAACAGCAUCAAAACGCAUCAGCACGGUGCUUACUAAGUCCACAUUGCCGUCUUCUCGCUCUGCUGCACUGAUCCCGCUGUCGAAAACUCCACUGAAACGCUUCACAACCUGAACAUCCAAAGUAGGCUCUUGGGGGACUGUCUUGUCUUUUUUCUUGGCGUUGCCGCUUCCCUUAGGACGACCUCUUUUAGCUCCGGUUGAGCUGCUAGGGCCGUUUGAUGCAGUGGUAGUGGGAGAUCUGUAUGAUUGAAGAGGUGGAACAAACGAUGGAGGAGGUGUGUACUGAGUCUGGUUGAGAUCUGGAGUGUCUUGUGUAGGUGGUUGUGAUCCAAAUGGGAAGAAAGGUGAGUAGCCUGUAGAAGAAGGGCCAAAAGGUGGAACUCCAACAAAGGGUGGACCUUGAUUGCCAUUUGGAAAAACAGGUUUUAGACUUCUCAGUGGUUUAACAUCUAGCACUAUAGACUUGUCAUAAUGGUUAGGAUUUGGAACUCCUUCCAUUGCUAAAACUCCUGUCAAAAAUGAGACCAACAUUUGGGUUAAAGAGCAUUGACAAAGCUUAGAUUAUUAUUAGCAUAUGAAUAAAGUAUGAUGAAAUAAAUAUCACAGCAUUUUACUGCAUAGCCCCUCUAGAACAACACCUUGCAGUGACCUUGUGGGUUAUAUAUACUCUUUGCAGUACUAAAAGCAGAAAAAAAAAAGUUAUAAGGAAAUGCAAAAGAAUCCAUUUAAGAGCAACCUUAGGUUCAAUAAAAGUCCCUAGAAGAAUCGAAAACCCAAAAAAAAUGCAAACUUUGCUAUA
rnacentral:lncRNA from 1 species